AACAGGGAUUGCCUUAGUAACGGCGAGUGAAGCGGCAAAAGCUCAAAUUUGAAAUCUGGCACCUUCGGUGUCCGAGUUGUAAUUUGAAGAAGGUAACUUUGGAGUUGGCUCUUGUCUAUGUUCCUUGGAACAGGACGUCACAGAGGGUGAGAAUCCCGUGCGAUGAGAUGCCCAAUUCUAUGUAAAGUGCUUUCGAAGAGUCGAGUUGUUUGGGAAUGCAGCUCUAAGUGGGUGGUAAAUUCCAUCUAAAGCUAAAUAUUGGCGAGAGACCGAUAGCGAACAAGUACAGUGAUGGAAAGAUGAAAAGAACUUUGAAAAGAGAGUGAAAAAGUACGUGAAAUUGUUGAAAGGGAAGGGCUUGAGAUCAGACUUGGUAUUUUGCGAUCCUUUCCUUCUUGGUUGGGUUCCUCGCAGCUUACUGGGCCAGCAUCGGUUUGGAUGGUAGGAUAAUGACUAAGGAAUGUGGCUCUACUUCGGUGGAGUGUUAUAGCCUUGGUUGAUACUGCCUGUCUAGACCGAGGACUGCGUCUUUUGACUAGGAUGUUGGCAUAAUGAUCUUAAGC
rnacentral:rRNA from 1 species